ACGACAGCCUUUUUCUCCCACUUGGACUCCGCCGCCACCCGCAAGCGUCGCCGCUCCGACGGCGUCCCUCCUCCCUCGCGUCUCUCUCCAUCUCUUCUCUCCCUUCUCUCUCUCAGCCUCAUGCCGUCGCGCCGCCAUCCCCCCCUCCGGCUUUCCAGAUUCGCCGCCGCCGUGCAUGCACAGGCGGCGGCUUCGUCGUCCUUCUCCCGGAAGUCCGCCGUCUGCACGCUCCGUCUCUCUCUCUCUCUCGGUUUGCCGCACCGCCGCCGCCGCUGCGGAUCCGCCGUCGUCGCGGGUCCGCCCCAGCCGCAGUCGCUGAGGAUCUCCCCCCCCCCCCCGCCGCCGACGCCGUCUCUCGACGGGUAGGGUGGUCGGAAAGAAUGAAAAAGGACAGAUGUGUUUUUGGAGCGUGGGCUGCCAUCGUCGGCGACGGAGUGCCGAGCUCGCUGCCGGAAGUUCUUCGACAGAUUUACAGAUUGGUUCAAGAAAAGUUCCUAUAUUUAAUUAAGAGAAUCUGCAUUUUUUUUGUAUGUUCUUGGGAUGCUAUAGCAACUAUGUCCUUGAGGCUCUAAAAUUGUCCAUAUGAAGUGCAUAUUGAUGCUAAAUUGGUGUUCUUUAAAUUCUGGAUACUAAGUUUGUAUUUUGACGUAGACAUGUUUUUCCUAUGUGAAAUAUGCUGUAAUAUGUGGAAAGAAGGUGGGGUGUUGAUGAUACUCACCUAAAGUGACUCGUUGUUGUUUUGUUGGUUCUCUUUUUGGACCUUCCUUUAUGUUUGGUGGAAGGAUCUCUGCUGCCUUUCCUUUC